rnacentral:rRNA from 1 species
GAUGAACGCUGGCGGCGUGCCUAAUACAUGCAAGUCGAGCGAACAGACGAGGAGCUUGCUCCUCUGACGUUAGCGGCGGACGGGUGAGUAACACGUGGAUAACCUACCUAUAAGACUGGGAUAACUUCGGGAAACCGGAGCUAAUACCGGAUAAUAUAUUGAACCGCAUGGUUCAAUAGUGAAAGACGGUUUUGCUGUCACUUAUAGAUGGAUCCGCGCCGCAUUAGCUAGUUGGUAAGGUAACGGCUUACCAAGGCGACGAUGCGUAGCCGACCUGAGAGGGUGAUCGGCCACACUGGAACUGAGACACGGUCAAGACUCCUACGGGAGGCAGCAGUAGGGAAUCUUCCGCAAUGGGCGAAAGCCUGACGGAGCAACGCCGCGUGAGUGAUGACGGUCUUCGGAGCGUAAAACUCUGUUAUUAGGGAAGAACAAAUGUGUAAGUAACUAUGCACGUAUUGACGGUACCUAAUCAGAAAGCCACGGCUAACUACGUG